rnacentral:pre_miRNA from 1 species
AAUAGAUGACGCCGUUGACUUUUUCUCAUAUGUUUGACCAUUCGUCUUGUUCAAAAAAUUUUGUUAUGAGUUGUUUUAUCACUCAUAGUACUUUAAGUGUGAUUUAUAUCUUAUACAUUUGCAUAAAAUUUUUGAAUAAGACGAAUGGUCAAACAUGUGAGAAAAAGUCAACAGCGUCAUCUAUU